UUAAUUAUAUAUUUGUAUGGAAUGAGAUCGUUUGCCUGCGUUUGCCGCUAGGGGCGCUGUUCCAACUGCAUACAAAAUUUGGGCUA
rnacentral:pre_miRNA from 1 species